rnacentral:rRNA from 1 species
GGGGGUAUCUAAGAUGGAUUUGCAACCAAUGUUUUGAGGCCAGCUUGCUGGUACCCAAACAUUGUUAACAUUUUUUAUCUUGGAUAUUCGAGUACGGCUUACGUGCAUUUUUUGUAUUGAUCUAAGUGCAAGUUACGGUCGCAUGCGACACGUGCUUUUCAUUUAGUUCGGUGCAGUUAAUGCUCUCGUACUCUCCCCCCAUGUAAAAGCCGGUCAUCUAUUUGACCCGUCUUGAAACACGGACCAAGGAGUUUAUCGUGUGCGCAAGUUUUUGGGUGUUAAAAACCUAGAAGCGAAAUGAAAGUAAAUGAUUCUUUAGAGUCUGAUGUGCAAUCUUUUUUCAAAAAAGUGCAUCAUGGCCCCAUUCUAACUGUUUACAGUAGGGUGGCGGAAGAGCGUACGCGGUGAGACCCGAAAGAUGGUGAACUAUUCCUGAGCAGGACGAAGCCAGAGGAAACUCUGGUGGAAGUCCGAAGCGGUU